GAUGAAGAACGUAGCGAAAUGCGAUAAGUAAUGUGAAUUGCAGAAUUCAGUGAAUCAUCGAAUCUUUGAACGCACAUUGCGCCCGCCAGUAUUCUGGCGAGCAUGCCUGUUCGAGCGUCAUUUCAACCAUCAAGCCCCAGGCUUGUGUUGGAGCCCUGCGGCUGCCGCAGCCUCCCAAAACCAGUGGCGGGCUCGCUAUCACACCGAGUGCAGUAGUUUACUCUUCGCUCAGGGCGUGUGGCGGGUGCUAGCCGUGAAACCCCCAACUUCUCAAGGUUGACCUCGGAUCAGGUAGGAAUACCAGCUGAACUUAAGCAUAUCAAUAAGCGGAGGA
rnacentral:misc_RNA from 1 species